rnacentral:miRNA from 1 species
GCAGACACAUUCCAGCCAAUCAGCAGCAGACCCUCCCUCCAAGACCCUCCCACCUCCUGGACAGCAUCCAUUUUACAUUCAUUGUGAAGCUGCAUUCUUAGUGAGCUGUCCAGGAGGUGGGAGGGUCUGGGAGGGAGGGUCUGCUGCUCAUUGGCUGGAAUGUGUCUG